rnacentral:rRNA from 1 species
GAUGAAACGCUGGCGGCAGGCCUAAUUACAUGCAAGUCGAACGGGAUUGGAGAGCUUGCUUUCCAUGAGAGUGGCGUACGGGUGCGUAACGCGUAUGCAACCUACCUUCAUCAGGGGGAUAGCCCGAAGAAAUUCGGAUUAACACCGCAUAAAAACACAACCUGGCAUCAGGAAAUGUUCAAAUAUUUAUAGGAUGAAGAUGGGCAUGCGUGUCAUUAGCUAGUUGGUAAGGUAACGGCUUACCAAGGCGACGAUGACUAGGGGAUCUGAGAGGAUGACCCCCCACACUGGUACUGAGACACGGACCAGACUCCUACGGGAGGCAGCAGUAAGGAAUAUUGGU